rnacentral:rRNA from 1 species
UACAGAGGGUGCGAGCGUUGUCCGGAAUCACUGGGCGUAAAGGGCGCGUAGGUGGCGGGCCAAGUCCAUGGUGAAAGCUCGAUGCUCAACAUCGAGUCGGCCACGGAUACUGGUGCGCUGGAGCACUGUAGAGGCUAAUGGAAUUCCGGGUGUAGCGGUGGAAUGCGUAGAGAUCCGGAAGAACACCGGUGGCGAAGGCGGUUAGCUGGGGCAGUUGCUGACACUGAGGCGCUGACAGCGUGGGGGAGCAAACAGGAUUAGAUACCC